UGUUCUUCAGACUCCUUGGUGGUUGUUUCACCUCCAUUUUCCUUAAGCUGUGGUGACAGUAAAGCAGCAGUUACUGUAGGUUCAAAUGCAGGGCCUACCUUCACCCAGUCAUCAUGACAGCUAUCCUCUGGUUUUCUCUUUGUGUACACACAUUUCCAAGGCAUGUAUUUACAUUACCAGCAGAGAAAGGCACAGGUCAUUCUCCCCCGAACCCCUACUGCAGACUGGAAGUCUCGGAAUGUCUGGACCUCUGUUCACAGCCCUGUGUCCAUGGCUUCUGAGUCUGUGGAUUCAACCAAACUUGGACCAAAAAAUACUGUAUUCAGAAACAUCUGUUGAAUGAAUGAAUGCAUUGCCCUACAGGUCAAGUCACUAUCAACUUAAAAAUGUCUUUAGUACUAAAGCACUCACAUAAAGUUUGUAAGUGUACUUUAUAUUUGUUAGGUUAUUUUGUUUUAUUUUUUUUCAGUACUGGAGAUUGAGCCCAGGGCCUUGAGCAUGCUCUGCCAGCACUUUCAUUACUGAGCUGCGGUGAUGGUAUGACCCCAGUCUGUUUGUUUGCUUUUGUGGUACUGAGGAUUGAACCCAGGGGCACUCUAUCACCAAGCAACAUCCCCCAGUCCUUUUUAUUUUUUAUUUUGAAACAGGUUCUCACAAAUUUAUCAAGGCUGGUCUCCAACAUGCCAUCCCCCUGUGGCCUCCUGAUUCGCCAAGACGACAGGCACGUGCCACCACCUCUGGCACAAACAUGAGUCUAAUUCCUUUCUAUGUGCUUCUGACUGUUUAUUAGUGCCUUGUGCUCUAUGUUUUGUUAUCAGUAUUUCCUUGACAUAAAAUGAUUAUUUAAACAUUUUGUCUUCAUAAAAAUGUAGAAGCACAUGCAGUUAUAAGAAAUAAUAUAGAGCUGGGCGUGGUGGCACACACCUGUAAUCUCAGUGGCUCGGGAGGCUGAGACAGGAGGAACGUGAGUUCAAAGCCAGCCUCAAAUGGUGAGGAGCUAAGCAACUCAGUGAGACCCUGUCUCUAAAUAAAAUACAAAAUAGGGCUGGGGAUGUGGCUCAGUGGUCGAUGUCGCAGAGUUCAAUUCCUGGUACCAAUAAAUAAAUAAGUAAAGUACUAAUAACAUAAAGAAA
rnacentral:lncRNA from 1 species